UCCAGCCGUUUGGGGUGAGGUGAAGCUUCCAGGAUGUUGUACAUGUUGACAUGUUUGAGUUUGUUCUGUGCUCUACAAAGAAGUGUUUCAUCAGAUGAAGCUGUGUCACUUAAUUGCAACAACACUGUCAGUGCUACAGCUGGAGAAAAUGUGACUCUAAAUUGUUCCAUAACUUCGACUUUUGGAGGGAAAGUGUGUACUGGUCAAAAGUAUGACUGGCAUAACACAAAUGGCAACAAACUAUGUGAAACUGAUGCCACAAAAUACACUUGUGCAUGGGAUGCCCUUACCUACCUGUCACUGACCAUCUCAAAUGUCCAAGAAGAGGCAAAUGUCACAGCUGAAAUCGUGUCAAUCUGUGGAAUGGUGAAAUCACUUCCUGUCAGAGUACAGCUAAUCAUUGAUCCAAAAACGGACGUUUUCCAACCAACAACACCACCAGAUAACGGU